UCUUAAGAUCUGGUUACGGUAACUAAAAAAGCCUGUCUGCCAAAUCCAGUGGAAACAAGUGCAUAGAUGUGAAUUGGUUUUUAGGGGCCCCACUUCCCAAUUCAUUAGGUAUGACUGUGGAAAUACAGACAAGGAUCUUAGUUGAUAUUUUGGGCUUGGGGCAGUGAGGGCUUAGGACACCCCAAGUGGUUUGGGAAAGGAGGAGGGGAGUGGUGGGUUUAUAGGGGGAGGAGGAGGCAGGUGGUCUAAGUGCUGACUGGCUACGUAGUUCGGGCAAAUCCUCCAAAAGGGAAAGGGAGGAUUUGCUUAGAAGGAUGGCGCUCCCAGUGACUACUUUUUGACUUCUGUUUGUCUUACGCUUCUCUCAGGGAAAAACAUGCAGUCCUCUAGUGUUUCAUGUACAUUCUGUGGGGGGUGAACACCUUGGUUCUGGUUAAACAGCUGUACUUUUGAUAGCUGUGCCAGGAAGGGUUAGGACCAACUACAAAUUAAUGUUGGUUGUCAAAUGUAGUGUGUUUCCCUAACUUUCUGUUUUUCCUGAGAAAAAAAAAUAAAUCUUUUAUUCAA
rnacentral:lncRNA from 1 species